ACCAAGGGGGAAGAUGUAAAGAGGAGCCUGACUAUGGCUGUGUGAGGAGGGCACGUGCCUAGAAAGUAGUAUGCCCAGUACCCACAGCUGUUUCUGCUUUGAGCAGUCAUUGGAUAAAAUGCAAAAGCAGGGGCAGUGCUCUCCUCACCAGGGGUCUGUGGCAAAGCAGGAAGUUAAAUACAGGCCUCCAAAAUCUCAGUCCGGCAUCCUGACAACUGUUGCCUCUGCCUUACUUUCGAACUGCCCUUUAACAUGUACAUCUCAGGAAUCCUUAACCUUCUCCUCACUAAUUCCCCACAUGCUCUUUACCUUGACUUACUCUUCUUUAUUUUGCUUCACUUAGCCUGCAGACUCUUGAGGAAAAUGAAUGUGCCUUUCUUUCUAAAAUGCCUUCCAAAUUAUAGCUCUAUACAGCGAUUUCAUUUCUGUUAGCAACAAUUAAAUAAAAACUAAUAGGGCUGAUCCAGAGCCCUUACUUUGGAGUAGUCUCCCAAAAAUUUAGUGUUGUAAUGUAGCUAGAUCUUUGUGGUUAAAUGCAUGAAUAUAUUUUUCUUCCAUGCAUAUAAUAAAGUUUGCUGGUAUAAUAAAGCUUGUUAGUUUGUGAUGAAGCACUAUCCAGUGUUUCAUCAACUGUGCUAUGAAGUUUUACUGUUUUUCAGGGUAUAGAGGGCUGUUAUUCUGGACACAAAAAGAGGGCAGUGUUGGGUACCCAGUGAUGUGUGCCAGGAACUUCCAGACGAUGCUAAUCCCCAGUGCAAAGUCAUGAGGGUCACAUGGCAAGCAGGUCUCUGUGAAAACAGCAAGAGGGCAAGACAUUUGCUUUCUCUUUUCUCUCUCUCUUUCAACACCACUUAUUAUAACUUCACCCCUAUUUUCUGCUCCUCUUCUUUCAUCUUUAGACUUCUCUUCCUUUUUGGGCAAGGUUUGCAAUCUUGCUUUUCAUUCAGCUUCUCACCCUUCUCUCAUUCCCUUAGGCCUAUGCACUUGUGAAAGGUUGACUCCUACCCUUGCUUUCAGUUGGGCUGCUAAGCAGAGAUGCCAACUUUUAUUUUUGCCAGGUGGGAGAGGGGGCCUAAGAUGAUGGACAUGUGGAACAUCUUAUGCAUUUCAGGUGACAGUCCUCUUCCCAAUGGGGAGCAGGGCACUCAGGCCCCUAUGUACUCUGCUGCUAAGCCACCUACUCUGCAAUGAAGACACAGGGUAACACUUGAAUGUUGAUAACACUUCAAGGCCUUCCCACAAUCACUUCCACAUGUCCAGAGAAAAAGACAAAUUCUUUUACAAACCACUGGGAAAGUAUCAGAGCAAGUCCGCUUACUGCAACACAGGAACCAUGGACUGUGUCUCUAUAUCUAUUAGCAACACAUACAGGUAAUCGGAGAACUGAGACACCAUUGCUUUUUGUGUCUGUUCACAACUGGCUAGGCUAACCUGGGUGAUUGGAUCUGGAUGCAGAUCACCUGCCCUAACUGCAGUGAAGACAUUCUCACAUGUGCUACAGCUGGGUGACAUUGCCCCAAGACAAACAGGCAAACACUGAAAAAACAACUUCUGAAGCACCAAAGUACUGAAAAGGCAUGCAUUGAACAGCCAAGGCAAGCACUGAGGAGUCGGGAGAGAGAGCACAAAGCACUAGUAUGACACACUAAAGAGCCAGCUCAAGCAUCUUAAAAAAUGGCUAAGUGCCAAGGACCAUCAUGACCUGGGCCUGUGCAGAAGGCAAGAGCACAGGUGAAGAUGCCUCACAAUGAGAGCCUGCAGUCUCAGGGCAAGGGCUGGACACAUGGCUGUGAAGAUGUACCUGUCACAGAAGGUUCCUUCCCCAACUUCAGGAACAAACUAACUGGUGGUUCCCAAUGGUGGCAUGAACUGCUUUCAUGGGGACUGGUUUGCAAGCCAUUACUUUACUGUUCCCUUAAGAACCAAAACAUCUUCAAGCAUUACACCUAUCUCAGGUGAUGGAGCAGAGACCAAAGCAUAAGAGUCCUAGUGGGUGGCAGUCUCUUGAGGGCUCUUCUUCCCAUUUCACAAGUGGGGAAACUGAGACAUAGAACUGAAUGAAUUUUGCCAUUGGCUUCAUUAGGAACAGAAUGAGGCUCUAUGGACCAUAUUUUUAAAAGGUUUUAUAUGCAGAUAGGUCUCUAGUGGAAUUCUCAAGUGAUUUGCAGUGGAUCCAAACUGUGAGUGGAACCCAAGAGUCCCCUGCACCUAGCUUUGUCCUUAGACUGUUAAAUUACAUCUUUCUCCUUUCAUGUUAUCCAGAAAUCCCUGAGCUUCUCUGGGUUCUUUUUCAUUGCAUUUCUCUCUGGUCUGAAUGAACAAAUCAUGUGUUUGCCAGCUCCUUACCCAAUGGAGUUCCUGUUUCACAAACCUGAUCUAGAAGCAAACCCACCAACAUUCGCUGCUUGCUGAACUAGCUUUAUUCCAAAAUACGUUUUCAUACAGCAAAUAAGCAAACUUGGUAAAAAAAAAUGUGCAUUGCCACAGUAAGCCCAGUUACUUAUGGGUUCAGCUGGGAAGUGUCAGAAGAUCUGGCCAAUGUCUGGAUAAUAAGGGGAAUUCAUUGGUGAACUCUCUCUUCUGCCACCUUAUGAAAAGCUGAGGUGCUCUUGGGUUGAGCUAAUCUUGAAAUCUGUCUUGAAAUCUGCCAUACCCACCUACCAUGAAUCUCCACGUCUCUGAUUUUAUUAGCUCAUUCCUGGCUGGUGUCCAAGGAACUUUUAAAAUAAAUCCAAAGGAGGAGUCUUCCUUCAGGUGCAAGUGUUUUUACUUAGCAGAUAAGAGGGAAGAUUGAGGAGUGAAUCUUAACCUGCAUAACUGUAACAGUCACAUGGUUCCCUAGGCUUUUUGUGGACCUUGUAUAUUGUGAGGGUCAUACAAUGCAGUAAA